AGUUAUAAGUCCAUUAAGGCAAGAUCAAACACCUCUAAUAAGGUUUUUCGUGUAGUUUCUAAUACUUUAAUUAUUGGACUUCAGGGACACGUUAUGGUGCCAGUUUGAGGAAGCAGAUCAAGAAGAUGGAAGUCAGUCAGCACAGCAAAUAUUUCUGUGAAUUUUGUGGAAAGUGAAAAGGAAGGCUGUUGGAAUCUGAGGUUGCAAAGAUUGUGGCAAAGUGAAAGCAGGCGGAGCUUAUAUGUUGAAUACCGCUAGUGCCGUUACUGUCAGGAGUGCCAUCCGUAGGCUGAGGGAGCAAACCGAGAGUUAGAUUUGGUCAUUUCUUGAUCUACUGGGCACAUUUCAGAAAGGUUUGUUUUAACAAUUUUGAUUACUGGUUAAAAUACAUUGCGAAUGGGAUCUUAAGCUUAAGUUUGAACACUAUGCAUGUGCCUGAAAUUUAAUCACUGAAGCUACUUAUAUUUGAUCUUGAUUUCAAAUAUAGUUGUUAAUGUACAUACAAGACGAUCUAGUUUCGUCCAUUUCCCUUUGCUCUAGGAAUGAUCUAUGAAACUAUAAGCAGAACAAUGAAAAUGCACUAGCAGCUAGGAAAAUGUGUGAUGAUUAGGCUCUUGGAACCAGUUGGUUUGACAUAUGAUAGAUGUUAUUAGGAUCAUCACAGUUACUUCUGUUGCGCUGUUAUUUAGC